rnacentral:rRNA from 1 species
UCUCGAGUGGCGAACGGGUGAGUAACACGUGGGUGAUCUGCCCUGCACUUUGGGAUAAGCCUGGGAAACUGGGUCUAAUACCGAAUAGGACCACGCGCUUCAUGGUGUGUGGUGGAAAGCUUUUGCGGUGUGGGAUGGGCCCGCGGCCUAUCAGCUUGUUGGUGGGGUAAUGGCCUACCAAGGCGACGACGGGUAGCCGGCCUGAGAGGGUGUCCGGCCACACUGGGACUGAGAUACGGCCCAGACUCCUACGGGAGGCAGCAGUGGGGAAUAUUGCACAAUGGGCGCAAGCCUGAUGCAGCGACGCCGCGUGGGGGAUGACGGCCUUCGGGUUGUAAACCUCUUUCAGUAUCGGCGAAGCUCCAGGAUUCUUCUUGGGGUGACGGUAGGUACAGAAGAAGCACCGGCCAACUACGUGCCAGCAGCCGCGGUAAUACGUAGGGUGCGAGCGUUGUCCGGAAUUACUGGGCGUAAAGAGCUCGUAGGUGGUUUGUCACGUUGUCCGUGAAAACUCACAGCUUAACUGUGGGCGUGCGGGCGAUACGGGCAGACUGGAGUACUGUA